rnacentral:lncRNA from 1 species
GCUUGUAGAAUACUGGUGGUUUAGGUUUCUUGAAUAUUGGAAUAUGAGGUGGAAGUGGCUUCUUGAAUAUUGGAAUAUGAGGUGGAAGUGGCUUCUUGAAUAUUGGGAUCAGUGGUUUCUUAAAAAGUGGAAUAGGAGGUGGAAGUGGUUUCUCAAAUUUUGGAAUCGGCGGCGGCAAUGGUUUCUUGUAAAUCGGAAUAGGUGGUGGAAGUGGUUUCUUGUAAAUUGGUAUUGGAGGAGGCAAUGGUUUCUUGUAAAUUGGUAUUGGAGGCGGAAGUGGCUUCUUAUAAACUGGUAUCGGCGGUGGAAGUGGCUUCUUAAAAAUGGGU